UUGUGGUUACUAUGGUGGUUGUUGGCGGUUUUUCAUGUUGCUCUUGUUUUUAGUCUUUUUUUUACCAUUUCAAUCAUCAAAUGGAUUAGUAUUUAAAAUUAAUGAUUCAAUUGAUUUUUCCCUUUUUUUAUGCUCAUUAUGCGUGAUUAAAUAACAUGGAAAAGGAUUUGGUUAGGUGAUCUUGUAUUGAAGCUCUCUUUCUUUCGUUUCUUUGGGCCUCAACUUGAUGAUGAUCAUCACCCUCCAGUUGAUUCCAAGUGAGUGACGAGUUUAACAAGUUUAAUAUCAAGUUAAAUGGAUUAAAACUGGAUAAGGAAAAGGUUGUUUCUUAAUGGUUAGUUAAUUAGAGUUGCCAAGACACACACAAGGCGAAGAGAAAGAUGGAGAUGGAAAGAGAAGACCAAAAGGACCAAGCAGGCUAAAAAGACUGAGAAGAUCAGAAGAAAGAUGAUGAAGAGAGUAAAAAUUGAGAAGGACACACUUUCUUCUCAUUCUCCUUUUUCGGGUUAAUUCAACCACGAAGAGAGGGCCUUGAUUAAGGCCUAGGGGCAAUCUAUGGACGAUCUUUCUUACCCUGUAACUUACAGAGUGUCACAGUGUGUUGUCUCAAGCUUUACCAUAAUUUUGUUCAGCCUCUUGGAACCAUUUUUUUGCCAGAUGAAAUAUCAAAAUCAAUUGAAAUCAAUUUUAUACCUUUUCCUGAAUAGCCAAGGGUUAACUCCACACAUAUGCUUUGUAUACAUACAUUGGUUGUUCAUUACUUCACAUCAAAACUGCAAAUUUCAAUGUCAAUCUAACAUGUUCAGAACCAUAUUAUUUUCAGAUUAAGACUUUAAGAUGUCUUGAAGAGAUUAACUCAAAGGUUUACAGAAAAGACAUUUUCACCUUUCAUAUUUUUGAUGGGUUAACUGACAAUCAACUCUGAACACCUUUGACCUUAAAACCUUGAACUUAACAAAAAAAACUAACCCUUGAAAACGCCUUCAAAUGAAUUGAUAGUUAAUCUUCACAAGUUUGAACAAUUUCUCAAGAAUGGCAUGAACAAGUUGAAAGAAAAUUGAAGCGUUAUUCAUCAAUAUUGAUAUUUCCUGAUAUAAUUGAUUAACCAUCAACAAAUGGAAUCAAGGUUAACAAAUGAAUGGUCAAUUUAAUUUCCAUGCAUAUAAAGUGAAUCUUGGAAUAGCUUUGAAAAUUUGCUGGAAUUCAGUGAAAGCGGUCAAAUUUUUGGCUAAUUAUUGGGAAAAUGAUUCGACGUUUAUGCUUAUGUAUACAUUUGCUGUUGAAUAUGCUACCAAUCGAGGUGAAUGAAAUUGACUGGCAAACAAUUGGUCUGAAUAGUUGGAUUGAAUGUAUGGUUAUCGUUAUGGUUAAAUAUGUUUAAAGAGUUAAAUAGAUUUGGUUAAAUAAAUUAUUACAAACAGUUUUAACCUUCAUCUGUGACCAUUAAUAAUGGAUAAAGAUACUAACAAAGUUAACCAGGUUAAAAAGGUAAAUAAAACCGGCCAAUAUAAAAGGGAUAUAAAGAUGGACUUGAAGAGAAAAGGUUUGUUGGAUGCAAGUUGGACACACAAAGGUUAUUAUUGUCAAGCUCCACAAGUAAAGAUUCAUGAAAGCAAAAAAAAACGAAAGAAAAAUCAAGUAAAACUGAAAAGAUAAAAGGUUAACCUAGUUGGAGAGAGAGGUGUAUUCAUGGGACAAUUGGACUUCCAAACAAAUACUGUCGACAUUCUCGGACCUGUUAUAAAAUGAAAUAAUGGAAACAAGAUAUUAUAUUUAAAGGGUUUUCACUUGUUCCAAUCCAUCUUAAGGAGUGCCUUUGAUCAAUUGACAAACAUAAUUUCACUCAAUAAUUAUUUGUUAUGUUUCAGUGAAAUAAGUUGUAUAAUUGGAGAUACAAUUAUCUGAUUGCUCAUUUAAAUGAAGACGGAAGACAAAGUGUCCAUCAAAUUGCUAAUAAGAUUGAACACUUUUGAUAUAUUUUCAUCGAUUUAGUUUAAAUUUUGAGUUUACUUUAAACACAAUCAAUAUUGUGAAAACAUUUGUUGAUCAUCUUGAAUCAUUUUGUUCUCAUUGACUAACUGAUUCUUCCUGUAUUGUUAACUGAAACUUAUGAUGAAUGUUGACCAUUUGAGAGGCUAGGCGAUCAUUAAAUGAAGCUCAAAACAAUCAAGAUCACUUUCAAGAUUCAGGUUAACAAACAAAUGAUUAGUUAACUCAACUGAUAUCAUCACCAUUAUGAGUAAAAAUAUAAAAUUAAUGAGAGAAUACAAAAUUGUUGAUAAAAAUAUAUCAAAAGUGGUAAAAUGAACUCUCGUUAUUGGUCAAUUUGUAAGGUUUGCAAAUGAAAACCAAAAGUCAAUCAAAGUAUCCAGUUAAAGAUGGUUCCUUUCAACGCAACUCAACUCACAUGUUUCCACCUUCUUCAAUGAUUGCUUGAUUGUUUGUUGGAUGUUAACUCUUGUAUAGCUGCAAGGCUCAUUAAGCUCAAGCUCAAGACAACACUAAUUGUUGGGUCCAACAGUAGGCUGACCCAGAUUCAAGUUUAACCUGUAAUUGUUGAUGAAGCAAAACAAAAAGCCAAAGAAACAUGUUUUUCUGGACUAAAAACAAUACUUAAAUGAUAAAUUGUUACAACCAAAAAGUAACAAAUAGUUCCGUUUACAAGUGGAAGAUACAAAAACAAUCAACAAUCAACAAUAAUAAUGAUGAUAAUAGCAAACACCCCAAGCUAUUAAUAUAUGUUAUUACAAAUUGUACGAGAAAAAAAUGGCAAAGGUACAUCAAAAUGUUGGUUAAGGCGAAAGUAAAAAGAUAAUUGAAGGAUUCCCGAACAGUUCAUACUAAUUGUUUACCAGUUAUUGGCUUUAAAAGGUUAAUUGUUUUGUUGAAUGGUUAAACAAUCGCCUACAAUUGGUAAAAUUACCAAUUAAUCAGUUUGUGAUAAUUAAACUGAUUGAUUAGCAGUUACGAUAAAUGGUUCAUUACAUUUCCAAACACAAUGAAAAUGGUAACAAGCCAAAUGGCGGAAAAUAUGAAAUAUUGACAAAUUUGGAAACAACAUUUUGCUCUUGAUUUGAUAUAAUUUAAAUAAAUAGAUUAGUUGAUA